GAUGAACGCUGGCGGCGUGCCUAAUACAUGCAAGUCGAGCGAACAGACGAGGAGCUUGCUCCUCUGACGUUAGCGGCGGACGGGUGAGUAACACGUGGAUAACCUACCUAUAAGACUGGGAUAACUUCGGGAAACCGGAGCUAAUACCGGAUAAUAUAUUGAACCGCAUGGUUCAAUAGUGAAAGACGGUUUUGCUGUCACUUAUAGAUGGAUCCGCGCCGCAUUAGCUAGUUGGUAAGGUAACGGCUUACCAAGGCGACGAUGCGUAGCCGACCUGAGAGGGUGAUCGGCCACACUGGAACUGAGACACGGUCCAGACGCCUACGGGAGGCAGCAGUAGGGAAUCUGCCGCAAUGGGCGAAAGCCUGACGGAGCAACGCCGCGUGAGUGAUGAAGGUCUUCGGAUCGUAAAACUCUGUUAUUAGGGAAGAACAAAUGUGUAAGUAACUAUGCACGUCUUGACGGUACCUAAUCAGAAAGCCACGGCUAACUACGU
rnacentral:rRNA from 1 species